rnacentral:rRNA from 1 species
UACGAGGGGGGGCAAGCGUUGUUCGGAAUUACUGGGCGUAAAGGGCUCGUAGGCGGCCAACUAAGUCGGACGUGAAAUCCCUCAGCUUAACUGGGGAACUGCGUCCGAUACUGGAUGGCUUGGAUUCGGGAGAGGGAUGCGGAAUUCCAGGUGUAGCGGUGAAAUGCGUAGAUAUCUGGAGGAACACCGGUGGCGAAGGCGGCAUCCUGGACCGAUAUUGACGCUGAGGAGCGAAAGCCAGGGGAGCAAACGGGG